AGAGUUUGAUCAUGGCUCAGAUUGAACGCUGGCGGCAUGCCUUACACAUGCAAGUCGAACGGCAGCACGGGAGCAAUCCUGGUGGCGAGUGGCGAACGGGUGAGUAAUACAUCGGAACGUGUCCUGUAGUGGGGGAUAGCCCGGCGAAAGCCGGAUUAAUACCGCAUACGAUCUGCGGAUGAAAGCGGGGGAUCUUCGGACCUCGCGCUGCAGGGGCGGCCGAUGGCAGAUUAGCUAGUUGGUGGGGUAAAGGCCUACCAAGGCGACGAUCUGUAGCUGGUCUGAGAGGACGACCAGCCACACUGGGACUGAGACACGGCCCAGACUCCUACGGGAGGCAGCAGUGGGGAAUUUUGGACAAUGGGCGCAAGCCUGAUCCAGCAAUGCCGCGUGUGUGAAGAAGGCCUUCGGGUUGUAAAGCACUUUUGUCCGGAAAGAAAACGCCCGGGUUAAUACCCUGGGCGGAUGACGGUACCGGAAGAAUAAGCACCGGCUAACUACGUGCCAGCAGCCGCGGUAAUACGUAGGGUGCAAGCGUUAAUCGGAAUUACUGGGCGUAAAGCGUGCGCAGGCGGUCCGCUAAGACAGAUGUGAAAUCCCCGGGCUUAACCUGGGAACUGCAUUCGUGACUGGCGGGCUAGAGUAUGGCAGAGGGGGGUAGAAUUCCACGUAGCAGUGAAAUGCGUAGAGAUGUGGAGGAAUACCGAUGGCGAAGGCAGCCCCCUGGGCCAAUACUGACGCUCAUGCACGAAAGCGUGGGGAGCAAACAGGAUUAGAUACCCUAGUAGUCC
rnacentral:rRNA from 1 species